CCCGACACAGGUAUCGAAGCGUCGACACACAGGACACAUCACUAGUCUUUGGUCUUUUCUCCUGCACAGAUAGCAAGAAGCAGACGGCCGAGUUUAUUAAACUCCACCGAGACAGCGGUGACGCUAAUCAGAAGGCUAGACCGUCCAAUUUCACGCCUUUAAAUUUUAAAGGCGUGUUUGUGUGUGUGUUUAUACAAUUGCUAUUAUGUUUGCACUUUAUGUGUAAUGUUACUGACUGCAGAGAUCAGUAAGAUGUGUGUAUUUUUUAUUUAUUAGUUUUAUUUAUUUAAUAUUAUUUUUUAAUUGAAUGACUGUCUAGUAGUUCACAGAUGUCGAAAAACUGAGUGUGGUAAAGCCACUGAUUUUUUUUAUGUAUAUUUCUGCAAUCUGCACAUUGUACUGACUUUCAUUUUAAUGUUUACACCAGGGUUCCUUGUCAGCACUUUAUGCUCAGAUGUUUGUAAGCCAAAAAUAAACUAUUGUGUAUGUUCAAAUAUACUGUUGUGAUUGAAGAAGUAAAAUAAAAAUGUCAGUCA
ensembl:lncRNA